GGCUCAGGAUGAACGCUGGCGGCGUGCCUAACACAUGCAAGUCGAACGGAGUUUACAUUUUAGAUCUCUUCGGAGUGACGAGAUGUAAACUUAGUGGCGGACGGGUGAGUAACGCGUGAGCAACCUGCCUUUCAGAGGGGGGACAGCAGUUGGAAACGACUGCUAAUACCGCAUAACAUAUAUUUUUCGCAUGGGAGAUAUAUCAAAGGAGCAAUCCGCUGAAAGAUGGGCUCGCGUUGGAUUAGAUAGUUGGUGGGGUAACGGCCUACCAAGUCAACGAUCCAUAGCCGGACUGAGAGGUUGAACGGCCACAUUGGGACUGAGACACGGCCCAGACUCCUACGGGAGGCAGCAGUGGGGGAUAUUGCACAAUGGGCGAAAGCCUGAUGCAGCAACGCCGCGUGAGGGAAGAAGGUCUUCGGAUUGUAAACCUUUGUCCUUGAUGACGAAUAAAGUGACGGUAAUCAAGGAGGAAGUCACGGCUAACUACGUG
rnacentral:rRNA from 1 species